UAUGUAGUAAGUAGAUUGCCUAAUUCCAUCUAUUUCAUUUCAAAUAUCUCACAUUUUCUUAUUUAGGAUCAUCAACAUGUUUUUACAUUAAUUAUUUAACUACCAUUUCCAGUCUUUUAGUCAGGCACACUUCUGCCUACUCAGGGCACAAUUAGUCACUGCAUUAUUAUAGAUUUAUACCAGCGUAAGUGAACAAAAAGCAAUUUGCACAUUUUGAACACAGUUACAUUUUGUUCUGAUUUUUUUUUUACCCUGAAAAUUGUCUUUCAACUUCACAUUAAAAUGUUGUUUUUCAGGAUGUGAUAACUAAGCCUUAUGCAGUUGUUUUCUUAUUUUAGAUCCUGAAUUACUUUACCUCCACUUGACUAUUGAACCCUUCUCAUCCACCAGUAGCAAGAAGACAAUACAGUUCAUUUGUCAGUUUUGAAAGAAAUCAGACGUUUGAGAGGUCGCAAAUAAUGGUAAAUUCCAGAAUGCCAUUUUAAAGAUGAUCAUCAAAAGCUUCCUUCUGGCUCAAAUACUGUACUGCCUUUGUGUGAAAAUAAGGGCAUGCGCAUGGUGUACUUCUGGCUUUUGCUUCCCACGUGGAGAUAAAAGUAUCUUCUAGAGACAUUUGGAGCCAGCAAACACUUCCACUGCCUACGGCAUAGCUCUGUCUUUAAAGUAUGUUCUGACCCCUUACCUUUCCUAAAAUAGCUUUUAGACU
rnacentral:lncRNA from 1 species